rnacentral:rRNA from 1 species
AGUUACCAGCACGUUAUGGUGGGCACUCUAAGGAGACUGCCGGGUGGACAAACCGGAGGAAGGUGGGGAUGACGUCAAGUCAUCAUGGCCCUUACGGCCUGGGCUACACACGUGCUACAAUGGUCGGUACAAAGGGUUGCCAAGCCGCGAGGUGGAGCUAAUCCCAUAAAACCGAUCGUAGUCCGGAUCGCAGUCUGCAACUCGACUGCGUGAAGUCGGAAUCGCUAGUAAUCGUGAAUCAGAAUGUCACGGUGAAUACGUUCCCGGGCCUU